UUUUGUAUUUUUAGUAGAGACAGAGUUUCUCCAUGUUGGUCAGGCUGGUCUUUAACUCCCGACCUCAGAUGAUCUGCCCGCCUUGGCCUCCCAAAGUGCUGGGAUUACAGGCAUGAGCCACCGUGCCCGGCCAAGGCUCCACCUCUUGAAGGGAGGAAUAUCAACUACGCGCCCGCAUCUCCCCCCGACCCCUCAGGGUCAGGCCUCUCGGUGGCUUUUCCUUUUUCUCUUCCAGAAACUAAGGGGUGAGACCGACGUUUGUGUGCCGGACGCGUGCAGGUGGCGGCGACGCUCCCGGGAGACAGAGACUCCCCAGGCACCUGGUUACUUUCACUUGCGUCCACCAAACAGGCUUUGUGUGAGCAACAAGGCUGUUUAUUUCACCUGGGUGCAGGCGGGCUGAGUCCAAAAAGAGAGUCAGCGAAGGGAGAUAGGGGUGGGGCUAUUUUAUAGAAUUUGGGUAGGUAAAGGAAAAUUACAGUCAAAGGGGGUUGUUCUCUGGUGUGCAGGAGUGGGGGGUCACAAGGUAAUGUCAUCAGUUAAGGCAGGGACUGGCCAUUUUCACUUCUUUUGUGGUGGAAUGUCAUCAGUUAAGGCAGGAACCGGCCAUCUGGAUGUGUACGUGCAGGUCAUAGGGGAUAUGAUGGCUUAGCCUGGGCUCAGAGGCCUGACAUUCCUGUCUUCUUAUAUUAAUAAGAAAAAUAACAUAAAAUAGUGUUGAAGUGUUGGGGCAGCAAAAAUUUUGGUGGGCGUGGUAUGGAGAGAUAAUCGUCGAUGUUUCUCAGGGCUGCUUUGAGCGGGAGUGGGGGUGGCGUGGGAACCUAGAGUGGGAGAGAUUAAGCUGAAGGAAGAUUUUGUGGUAAGGGGUGAUAUUGUGGGGUUGUGAGAAGAAACAUUGUCAUAUAGAAUGAUUGGUGAUGGCCUGGAUGUGGUUUUGUAUGAAUUGAAAAACUAAAUGGAAGACACAAGGUCCGAAUAAGAGAAGGAGAAAAACCGGUAUUAAAGGGCUAAGAAUUGGGAGGACCCAGGACAUCCAAUUAGAGAGUGCCCAAGGAGGUUUAGCAUAGCCCUGCCAGCAAAGAUUAUUUAUUUACUUUAAGUGGGAGUGGCCUGUAAUCCCAGCACUUUGGGAGGCUGAGGCAGGCGGAUCACGAGGUCAGGAGAUCGAGACCAUCCUGGCUAAUGCAGUGAAACCCCAUCUCUACUAAAAAUACAAAAAAUUAGCCGGGCGUGGUGGCAUGUGCCUGUAGUCCCAGCUACUCGGGAGGCUGAGGCAGGAGAAUGGCAUGAACCCGGGAGGCAGAGCUUGCAGUGAGCUGAGAUCGCGCCACUGCACUCCAGCCUGGGUGACAGAGCGAGACUCUAUCUCAAAAAAAAAAAAAAGAGUGGCGCUUUGGGGAUAGCACCAGGAGAUAUCAGCUGUGAUGGCUUGGAGAAACAGUGUAAACAGGCACUGUAAACAAGAGCAGGGCAUUUAUGAGUAGUUGAUAAUGGUGAAUAGGAGUAUGACUAGACAGAAGACAGUAGGGAUGACAAGUUUUUUGGGGCGCAGUUCAAGUUGGUCUGGUGUCUGGAAUGAGACUGGGGCCUAAUAAAACGAGAGUCUAUUACAGAAGCUCAAAUGGGCUGUAACUUGUAGCAUUCCGAGGACAGGCCCGAAUUCUGAGAAGGGAAAGUGGUAAAAGUAUUGUCAAGUCCUUUUUAAGUUUGUAGCUGAGCUUUGUGAGAUGUGUUUUAAAAAGACCAUCAGUUCACUGAAUACCAAGAGCCUGAGAAACUGCUUGGGUGAUUUGACUAAUAAAGGCCUGUCCAUUAUCAGACUGUAUAGAGGUGGGAAGGCUAAACCGAGGAAUUAUGUCUGACAGAAGAGAAGAAAUGACUGUGGUGACCUUCUCAGACCCUGUGGGAAAGGCCUCUACCCAUCCAGUGAAAGUGUCUACCCAGACCAAGAGGUAUUUUAGUUUCCUGACUCGGAGCAUGUGAGUAAAGUCAAUUUGCCAGUCCUGGGAGAGGGCAAAUCCCCAAGCUUGAUGUGUAGGGAAGCGGGGGGCAGGGGCGGGGGUCCUGAAUAAUCCCUGAGGAGUAGUAGAAUAGCAGCUGGAACACUGAGAAGUGAUUUCCUUGAGGAUAGAUUUCCAUGAUGGAAAGGAAAUGAGAGGUUCUGAGAGGCGGGCUAGCGGCUUGUACUACAGCAUAGCCUGCCUUUGCUGGUGAGUGGCGAUUAGGCCUGGUGGAACUGCCAUCAAUAAACCAAGCGUGAUCAGGGUGAGGAACAGGAAAGAAGGAAAUAUGGGGAAAUGGGGUGAAUGUCAGGUGGAUCAGAGUGAUACAGUCAUGGGGGUCAGGCGUAAUAUCAGGAAUAAUGUGGGAAGCCAGAUUAAGUCCGGGCCAGGAACAAUGGUAAUUGUGGGAGACUCAACAAAGAGUGAGUACAGCUGAAGAAGCCAGGGAGCAGA
rnacentral:lncRNA from 10 species